rnacentral:rRNA from 1 species
GUCGACGGGUAGCCGGCCUGAGAGGGUGACCGGCCACACUGGGACUGAGACACGGCCCAGACUCCUACGGGAGGCAGCAGUGGGGAAUAUUGCACAAUGGGCGAAAGCCUGAUGCAGCGACGCCGCGUGAGGGAUGACGGCCUUCGGGUUGUAAACCUCUUUCAGCAGGGACGAAGCGAAAGUGACGGUACCUGCAGAAAAAGCGCCGGCUAACUACGUGCCAGCAGCCGCGGUAAUACGUAGGGCGCAAGCGUUAUCCGGAAUUACUGGGCGUAAAGAGCUCGUAGGCGGUUUGUCGCGUCUGCUGUGAAAUCCCGAGGCUCAACCGCUGGCCUGCAGUGGAUACGGGCAGACUAGAGUACUGUAGGGGAGAUUGGAAUUCCUGGUGUAGCGGUGAAAUGCGCAGAUAUCAGGAGGAACACCGAUGGCGAAGGCAGAUCUCUGGGCCGUAACUGACGCUGAGGAACGAAAGGGUGGGGAGCAAACAGGAUUAGAUACCCUGGUAGUCCACCCCGUAAACGUUGGGAACUAGGUGUGGGGUCCUUUCCACGAAUUCCGUGACGCACCUAACGCAUUAACUUCCCCGCUGGGGAAGUACGGA